GAUGAACGCUGGCGGCGUGCCUAAUACAUGCAAGUCGAGCGAACGGACGAGAAGCUUGCUUCUCUGAUGUUAGCGGCGGACGGGUGAGUAACACGUGGAUAACCUACCUAUAAGACUGGGAUAACUUCGGGAAACCGGAGCUAAUACCGGAUAAUAUUUUGAACCGCAUGGUUCAAAAGUGAAAGACGGUCUUGCUGUCACUUAUAGAUGGAUCCGCGCUGCAUUAGCUAGUUGGUAAGGUAACGGCUUACCAAGGCAACGAUGCAUAGCCGACCUGGGAGGGUGAUCGGCCACACUGGAACUGAGACACGGUCCAGACUCCUACGGGAGGCAGCAGUAGGGAAUCUUCCGCAAUGGGCGAAAGCCUGACGGAGCAACGCCGCGUGAGUGAUGAAGGUCUUCGGAUCGUAAAACUCUGUUAUUAGGGAAGAACAUAUGUGUAAGUAACUGUGCACAUCUUGACGGUACCUAAUCAGAAAGCCACGGCUAACUACGUGCCAGCAGCCGCGGUAAUACGUAGGUGGCAAGCGUUAUCCGGAAUUAUUGGGCGUAGCGCGCGUAGCGGUUUUUUAAGUCUGAUGUGAAAGCCCACGGCUCAACCGUGGAGGGUCAUUGGAAACUGGAAAACUUGAGUGCAGAAGAGGAAAGUGGAAUUCCAUGUGUAGCGGUGAAAUGCGCAGAGAUAUGGAGGAACACCAGUGGCGAAGGCGACUUUCUGGUCUGCAACUGACGCUGAUGUGCGAAAGCGUGGGGAUCAAACAGGAUUAGAUACCCUGGUAGUCCACGCCGUAAACGAUGAGUGCUAAGUGUUAGGGGGUUUCCGCCCCUUAGUGCUGCAGCUAACGCAUUAAGCACUCCGCCUGGGGAGUACGACCGCAAGGUUGAAACUCAAAGGAAUUGACGGGGACCCGCACAAGCGGUGGAGCAUGUGGUUUAAUUCGAAGCAACGCGAAGAACCUUACCAAAUCUUGACAUCCUUUGACAACUCUAGAGAUAGAGCUUUCCCCUUCGGGGGACAAAGUGACAGGUGGUGCAUGGUUGUCGUCAGCUCGUGUCGUGAGAUGUUGGGUUAAGUCCCGCAACGAGCGCAACCCUUAAGCUUAGUUGCCAUCAUUAAGUUGGGCACUCUAAGUUGACUGCCGGUGACAAACCGGAGGAAGGUGGGGAUGACGUCAAAUCAUCAUGCCCCUUAUGAUUUGGGCUACACACGUGCUACAAUGGACAAUACAAAGGGCAGCGAAACCGUGAGGUCAAGCAAAUCCCAUAAAGUUGUUCUCAGUUCGGAUUGUAGUCUGCAACUCGACUACAUGAAGCUGGAAUCGCUAGUAAUCGUAGAUCAGCAUGCUACGGUGAAUACGUUCCCGGGUCU
rnacentral:rRNA from 1 species